rnacentral:rRNA from 1 species
GGAGCUUGCUCUUCUUGGAUGAGUUGCGAACGGGUGAGUAACGCGUAGGUAACCUGCCUUGUAGCGGGGGAUAACUAUUGGAAACGAUAGCUAAUACCGCAUAACAAUGGAUGACACAUGUCAUUUAUUUGAAAGGGGCAAUUGCUCCACUACAAGAUGGACCUGCGUUGUAUUAGCUAGUAGGUGAGGUAAUGGCUCACCUAGGCGACGAUACAUAGCCGACCUGAGAGGGUGAUCGGCCACACUGGGACUGAGACACGGCCCAGACUCCUACGGGAGGCAGCAGUAGGGAAUCUUCGGCAAUGGGGGCAACCCUGACCGAGCAACGCCGCGUGAGUGAAGAAGGUUUUCGGAUCGUAAAGCUCUGUUGUAAGUCAAGAACGGGUGUGAGAGUGGAAAGUUCACACUGUGACGGUAGCUUACCAGAAAGGGACGGCUAACUACGUGCCAGCAGCCGCGGUAAUACGUAGGUCCCGAGCGUUGUCCGGAUUUAUUGGGCGUAAAGCGAGCGCAGGCGGUUUGAUAAGUCUGAAGUUAAAGGCUGUGGCUCAACCAUAGUUCGCUUUGGAAACUGUCAAACUUGAGUGCAGAAGGGGAGAGUGGAAUUCCAUGUGUAGCGGUGAAAUGCGUAGAUAUAUGGAGGAACACCGGUGGCGAAAGCGGCUCUCUGGUCUGUAACUGACGCUGAGGCUCGAAAGCGUGGGGAGCGAACAGGAUUAGAUACCCUGGUAGUCCACGCCGUAAACGAUGAGUGCUAGGUGUUGGAUCCUUUCCGGGAUUCAGUGCCGCAGCUAACGCAUUAAGCACUCCGCCUGGGGAGUACGACCGCAAGGUUGAAACUCAAAGGAAUUGACGGGGGCCCGCACAAGCGGUGGAGCAUGUGGUUUAAUUCGAAGCAACGCGAAGAACCUUACCAGGUCUUGACAUCCCGAUGCUAUUUCUAGAGAUAGAAAGUUACUUCGGUACAUCGGUGACAGGUGGUGCAUGGUUGUCGUCAGCUCGUGUCGUGAGAUGUUGGGUUAAGUCCCGCAACGAGCGCAACCCCUAUUGUUAGUUGCCAUCAUUCAGUUGGGCACUCUAGCGAGACUGCCGGUAAUAAACCGGAGGAAGGUGGGGAUGACGUCAAAUCAUCAUGCCCCUUAUGACCUGGGCUACACACGUGCUACAAUGGUUGGUACAACGAGUUGCGAGUCGGUGACGGCGAGCUAAUCUCUUAAAGCCAAUCUCAGUUCGGAUUGUAGGCUGCAACUCGCCUACAUGAAGUCGGAAUCGCUAGUAAUCGCGGAUCAGCACGCCGCGGUGAAUACGUUCCCGGGCCUUGUACACACCGCCCGUCACACCACGAGAGUUUGUAACACCCGAAGUCGGUGAGGU